GUUUGGGAGUGGUUACUACAGAGCAGCUUUGUGGCCAUAACUGACUAAUAUAGAAAUGGGAAAAGUCUUCUGGGAAAACUCUUUAAUGGGUGACAGACUUAGCAGGCCUUUUGCUCUUUACCCUUCUCCUUGAAUGAAGACAAACUAGAUGUUUGGUGAGAGUGGGGUCAGGGGCAGACAUGUUACAACCACAGGGGGAUAGACACAAGCUAAGCAUGGCUGAAUGGGAAGAUAGAAUGAGCACCAUCUCUAGUAGCACCAUAAGCCACCAAAUCAGCCCUGAAAUGUCUAACUCUGGACACCCUCUCAUGUAAGAAAAAGAAAGCCUCGAAGUUGAUUGUUGCUGUUGCUGAGUUGCUAAGUCAUGUCUGACUCUUUGCAACCCCAUGGACUGUAUAGCCUGCCAGGCUCCUCUGUCCGUGGAAUUCUCCAGGCAAGAAUACUGGAAUGGAUUGCCAUCUCCGUCUCCAGGGGCUCUUUCCGGCCCAGGGAUCAAACACACUUCUCCUGAAUUGGUAGGCAGAUGCUUUAUCACUGAGUCACUUGGGAAUCCCCUUGAAGUUGAUUUUGCCACUGCUUUUCAGGUUUCCACUACUUGCAGCUGAUUAUAGUUCCUAACUGAUGGAAUCAUUGGCAUUGAAGCCACACUUGUGUCAGAGAUCUUGGUCAGAGAGAGAACAUAAAGUGUCCCUUGGAAUCCUGGGGAAUGUGGCUCAAGGAUGUUGUAGAGGAAGCCCACAGAAGUCUGGGGUGAGUGGAGAACUGAAGAUGUGGUGGCACCAGAGGAGAGAGGGCCAGGAGACAGGCAUGGACCAGGCCAAAUGUGGCAGUGAGAUGCAGGAACAUGAGGAAGAAAACUCAUCGGUGGAUUUAGCAAGCGAGAGGUCCUGGACCUUGGCAGGGGAGAUUCAUGCAGGGUUGUGGAGAGAAGCCAAACCUCAGAGGGUGAUAGAAUCUGCAGCUCUCGGGAUGGACGCUCUUCACAUCCAGGCAACACCACCACCUGCCAUUCCUGGCCAGGCUGCCUUCCCCUUGGUCCGUCAUCCCCCUGCCUAGCCCCCUGCCUGCUCAGCCCUUCAAGAUGGCCCAGCUGCCAGUGCUCUCUGAGGAAGACUGGACCACUCUAUCCCCAGGCUCCUCCCAUCUCUCUGUGUCUACCUUGAAUCAUAUUGCCUGGGUCCAGGAGGGAAGAAUCUGGGGGUGUGUAUUGUCAUCAUCUAUGUGCCCUCCUGUUAUAGGCAGAGGAAGGAGAUUAAUCCUGUAUUUCCCCAAAGGACAGAAC
ensembl:lncRNA